GGGGAUAUAGCUCAGUGGUAGAGCACUUGCCUACCAUGUAUAAGGCCCGGGGUUCAAUUUCCUGUACCACAA
rnacentral:tRNA from 1 species